UACAGAGGGUGCGAGCGUUAAUCGGAAUUACUGGGCGUAAAGCGCACGUAGUAGGCUUUGCAAGUCGGGUGUGAAAUCCCCGGGCUCAACCUGGGAACUGCAUCCGAGACUGCAUUGCUAGAGUAUGGGAGAGGGAAGCGGAAUUUCCGGUGUAGCGGUGAAAUGCGUAGAUAUCGGAAGGAACACCAGUGGCGAAAGCGGCUUCCUGGUCCAGCACCGACGUUCAGGCACGAAAGCGUGGUGAGCAAACAGG
rnacentral:rRNA from 1 species